GAUGAACGCUAGCUACAGGCUUAACACAUGCAAGUCGAGGGGCAGCACAAGGCAGCAAUGCUGAGGUGGCGACCGGCGCACGGGUGCGUAACGCGUAUCCAACCUUCCCGUUACUCUUGGAUAGCCUUCCGAAAGGGAGAUUAAUACAAGAUGGUGUUGAAAUUCCGCAUGUUAUUUCAACUAAAGAUUUAUCGGUAACGGAUGGGGAUGCGUGACAUUAGAUAGUAGGCGGGGUAACGGCCCACCUAGUCUACGAUGUCUAGGGGUUCUGAGAGGAAGGUCCCCCACACUGGAACUGAGACACGGUCCAG
rnacentral:rRNA from 1 species